GGGGAUAGCUCAGCAGUAUAGCAUAUGUUUGGCAUGCAGAAGGUCCCAGGUUCAAUCCCUGGCAUCUCCA
rnacentral:tRNA from 1 species